UAGUCACCUGAUACUUUCAAUCAUCAUCAUCAUAGUCAUCUGAUGUUUCUCAUUCAACACUUUAAUUAUUCAUUGUUGUACAAAGGCAUUCUUCACGGUGCUUUGCCACAAACUAAAAAAUUUUUCUAUCAAAUGGCUCCACCUCAAAUUUUGUAUUUCCCAUGUUUGACAUCUCCAAUCACAGCUCUGAUACCACUUGUUGUGAAAAUUAUACCCACACAAAUUAAAGAAUACAAAAUUUAACAUUGUUCGAUGCAAGUCUACUUCACCAAACAAAUCCACUAUAAAGGAAAAAUAAUUACAACCACUA
rnacentral:misc_RNA from 1 species